CUCGCCUGCACGAAGUCGGAAUUGCUAGUAAUCGUAGGUCAGCAUACUACGGUGAAUACGUUCCCGGGCCUUGUACACACCGCCCGUCAAACCAUGAGAGUUGGCAACACCCGAAGUCGGUAGUCUAACCGCAAGGAGGACGCCGCCGAAGGUGGGUUGAUGAUUAGGGUUAAGUCGUAACAAGGUAUC
rnacentral:rRNA from 1 species